GGGCUUCCAUAUAUGAACGCGGGCUGGAACCUCUCGGGGUUACAGCCUUGCUGAAUUAUUCACCCUUGUCUUUUGCGUACUUCUUGUUUCCUUGGUGGGUUCGCCCACCACUAGGACAAACAUAAACCUUUUGUAAUUGCAAUCAGCGUCAGUAACAAAUUAAUAAUUACAACUUUCAACAACGGAUCUCUUGGUUCUGGCAUCGAUGAAGAACGCAGCGAAAUGCGAUAAGUAGUGUGAAUUGCAGAAUUCAGUGAAUCAUCGAAUCUUUGAACGCACAUUGCGCCCUUUGGUAUUCCAAAGGGCAUGCCUGUUCGAGCGUCAUUUGUACCCUCAAGCUUUGCUUGGUGUUGGGCGUCUUGUCUCUAGCUUUGCUGGAGACUCGCCUUAAAGUAAUUGGCAGCCGGCCUACUGGUUUCGGAGCGCAGCACAAGUCGCACUCUCUAUCAGCAAAGGUCUAGCAUCCAUUAAGCCUUUUUUUCAACUUUUGACCUCGGAUCAGGUAGGGAUACCCGCUGAACUUAAGCAUAUCAAUAAGCGGGAGGAA
rnacentral:rRNA from 1 species